UUUUUUUGGUAGUAUGUCCUUUGAAUCACAAAGGUUUUUAAUUUUUAUGAUGUCCAGUGUAUCUUUUUUCUUUGUGCUUUAGGUAUCAGCAAAGAACAACCUCUAACUGUUAUGCAUGGUUGUUCAUUUAAAUGGCAUUUAGCCAUUACUAGGCAUAUAACCUAGUAUUAAGUACUCAGUAAAUACUUAAUUUGUGAUAAAAAGUCAACCUUUAAAGUUACCAUUUUUUUUCUUAUAGAAAUUUCCAUCAUGAAAUCUUUAGUCAUCUUACCCAAGCCUCUAACAAUAUGGGUAAGCCAAAGAUGUAAAUGGAGCAUGUGAAUACAGCACAGGAAGAUUGUGUUCACAAAUUUUCCAGCAUGUCCUUAGAGAUCCAAUAUACAAAUGACAACUACCAUGGGCUGGCCACCUGCAACUUGAAAAAUGAUUGACUACCUGCCUGCCUUCCAAUGGGCCUGAAAUCCAAUUUAGUUUAUUUUAAGUCAGCAUCAAGUUCUGCUUAAAAGAAACACGUGUAUCAGUCACUUCUCCAAUAAAAACAGUACCUGUGGGUCUUUGGCCUGAAGUGCCCCUUGGCAUUCCUGUAUGAAAGCCCAGCUCCUUUACCUUGGACAGAGCAUGGGAAUGGAAUUGGAGAGGUGUGGAGUGUCAGGUAAGGAAGAUGGAUCCUGCCACCCUGAGAGUUGGGGGCUAGAAGACUUCUGCAGUAACAUGGGGAGGUUAAAAGGCAGGAACAAAAAGAUGAGUCAAGUGUGACGCCACAAGCUAAAGGCCAACCAGAAUAUGGUCAAUUCUCAAAUCCUAAGAGACUGCCAGUUACAGGGGAUGCUCAAGAACAAGCCUCUGGUCUUCCAGGCAAGUUGGGGCAUUACUUCUGCACAAUGAAACCCAUAGGCCACUUAGAAAAAUACAGUUACAGCCAAUCAGUCCCCACUGUAAGGUGGUAUUUCUCAAACUAGGCUGCACAUAGGGUUGCCUAGAAAAUUAAAAGCAUAUGAAAGCCAUAUUCAGGCCCUAUCCCAGUUCCAAUUAAAUCAGAAACUUGGCGUUUUUGUUAAAGGGCUCCACAAGGUUUUAAUGUUUAACCUAAAUUGAGUACCAUUGCAAUAAGCAACUUCUAGCAUCUAUGUUUCAAGGGGAAGAGAGCAAAGGGAGGAGAAAUAAAAACAAAUUGUGAUUAGAAUGGACCUGUAACUACAUAGGGAGGGAAAGAGCUGUGAAUCCAAUGUGGAAUCUUCUAUGAUGUAAGAGAUUUCAAAAUAAACAGGACAGAAACUGACUGUUUUAGAGAAUUGGGCUGAGAAGGCACAAGUGACGCUACUCAAAAGGAAAGGCAAAUUCAACAGCUGGAAAAAUUGUUAACAAAUUAGUCCUCAGUGAUGUGAGUUAUAACUUUAAAGGUCUUUGAGGUUGCAUAGCUUUGAAGCUUAACUUGCUAUAUAGUUCAUAAUGAAGGGCCUGUGGAUCAUAUAUUUGGUGAAGUUGGGAGUGAAGUUAGGUUAUUUUUAAUUAUGUCAAGAAAUAUUAAUAAUACAGAAUGAUUGUUAGUGGGAUUUUUUUACACAGCAUGUAUUUUAAAUUUUUCUUAACCCUUCUUGAAAAUUUCCUUGUUAAAUGCUGCCAAAUGAUAUUAACUCAGAAUAUCAAUACUGUAUUCAUUUAAAGAAGAGAGUGGGUCAUAGACAUAUGACUGUUGUUCUGAAGGUUCCCUGCAGAUGGCAUUGCUUGCUUGACUUUAAACCAUUUAUAGAGAGGAUGUUUUUAAAACAGGGUAUUUUGAAAUGGAAUCAUACUUGUGUAUUUCAAAGGUGAACUAAAUUACAUUUUGAGGAAUAAAGCUGCCUGUCAUAGUUUCUCUCAGAAUAUAACAGUUGGUUUAGUCUGUUCAGGCUGCUGUAACAAUAUACCAUAGACUGGGUGGCUUAUAAAUAGCAGACUAUCACAGUUCUGGAGGCUGGGAAGUCCAAGAUCAAGGUGCCUGCUUCUUCAAAGUCAGCUGUUUUCUCACUAACCUCACAUGGCAGAAAGAGCAAGGGAUCUCCCUUAGGUCUCUCUUAUAAAUGCACUAAUCCCAUUUAUGAUAGGUUCGUCCUCAUGAUUGACUCACCUCCCAAGUGCUCCACCUCCAAACACCACCACAUUGGGGUAGCAGGAUUCAACAUAGGAACUUCAGGGGGACACAAACACUCAGACCAUUUUUUUAUAAAGUUGUAUUUGAUGUAUCUUUCUAUCCAUUGCAUUCUGAUACACCUUUUAAUAGAACAUUGAUGGACUCACUAGAUUUUCACAGAACUCCAGUAAUACCUAAAAACCUAAAACAAUGUCUUAAAUGACUCCAAAUACCCAAUUGGUGAAAAUGGCUUUUUUGAAUUUUUUAAUGUCACUCAUAAAGCUAUAUAAAUUGCAAUUCAUAAACUAUUUCUCUGCUGUUGAUACAUUCUGUGAGAAAAGGCAGACAUUUAAGAGGCUAAAUUAGUUCAGGUACUAAAAAUUUAAUUCACCUUGAAAGUACCUCUUACAUAAUGAAUGAUUUUAUAUCUGAGGUACUUGAAACUUCUAAUUAAUUUUAAUUAGUUUUUCAAACCAGUGUACCUUACUCACUAGAGUAGUAAGUAGCUUUUCCAUCAAAAGCUGAAGCUAUGUCUGGCUUUACCACAGUCCUGUAAGCUUAGGCCAGCUGUUUGACUUUUCAGUUUUUCUUUUUCAUCAAGGAACUUCAGGAUUUGAAUUUUUGAUUUGUUGGUAACAUUGUAAUGUACAAUAAUCAGUUGUCAUAACAUAAAGACCUUCAGGCUAGUAAUACAGAAAAAAAUUGGCAAUAAAAUUUUACUGAAAAUUAAUGGAAAAGCAAAGUUUUCACUUUACAUAAUUUUGCAUAGGAAACAGUAAGUUUUCAAGCCAUUUUCACCAAUUGGUUAUUGGGGUCAUUUAAGACAUUGUCUUAGGUUCUUAGGUAUUACUGGAGUUCUGUGAAGAUCUAGUGAGUCCAUCAAUGUGAGAUGCAUUUCAAUAACAAGAUUGUUUUCAAAUAAUAGACUUAGUAUGUUAGAGCAAAUUAUCUCCAUGAUUUUUUUACAAUAUUUUCAUAAUGGUUCAUAAUGAAUUUUUUAACAUAAUGUUUUCUCCUGUGCAUUCUCAAAACAGUAUGUUAAGGGCCCUGAGACCAGAUUAUCUACAUUCAAAUCACAGUUCUGCCAUUUACUGACUGUGUAACCUUGAGAAGUUAAACCUUGUGUGCCUGUUUCAUCAUAUAUAAAGUGAAGAUCAUAGUAAUUAAUCUACUUCAGAGUAUGCCUUGGGGGAUUAAAUGAAUUUAAAGAUGCCAUGCACUUAGGUACCUGGCCAUUAGUAAGUGUCCAGUAAAUGUGAUUAUUCUAGGGAUGGAAUUACUUUACACGGGGACUGAGAAAAUGUGUAUAAUGCAAGUUGAUUUGUAUCUUGUUGCAGUGUGAAAUCUGGACUUUUUGAGAGCAUCGGACCCAUGUAAACAUUAUUCCCUCAUGAUGGAAAUGGUACCUGGGGUGGGAGGAGAUUGAGAGCAAUGUUCCACAGUAUUGCUAUUUGAGCAAAUAAGCAAAUCUUUGCUUUUCAUUUUUAUGAUUCUAAAGCAAAUGCAUUGAAAGGCCAGUAGAAACAGUAAAUCCUCAUUUCUAAAUAGGGGAGCCUGGGCUUGCUUGCUGGAGCUCCAAGAUUAAUAUUCAAGUGCCCUGGACCCAUAGUAAAUAAUUCUUCUACAUUCUUAUCUCUGUUAAACUGAGACCAGUUAGGUAGCAGGUAAUUAAAACACAUCAGCAUUGUCAUUUUUCUGAAAUCUGGGACUUGACUUAUCUGCAUAACUAUUUUCAGAGUUUAGAUGUAUUAACUCUAAAAUACUUCUGCAAUAGUUGCCUCCUGGGCAUAUGAUCUUUUACCAUAUAAUUUAUAUGGGCAGGAGCUUAGUUUACCUAAUCCCUCAGGUUGUCUGACCAUGUCUGUACCAGUAGACAGGAAUGAGAGUCAGAGCCUUGGUUGUAUCUGCCGCUCCAUAGCCAGUGUAAUGUGGCACAUGUGCUUAGUUGCAUUAUGUUAAACUUUCAAGACCUUUUUUUCAGUUGAUGGAAAAAAUUAUAACACUAAAUAGCUGAUUUUAAUUUUUAGAAAUGCUUGCUACGUUUAAUUUGAUGAAGAAUAAGUUCACGCUUCUUAAUAUAAGCAAGGUUAAACACAAUAUUUCUUACUUGCAAAACAAAAUUAAAGCUAUUGAAGAUACAGUUCUUGUAGGCUUAAAAGUUUGAGUAGUUAACAGAUUUCCUUCUUGUUGUUAGUUCUGAUGAAGUAUCACUGGAGUGUGUUAAGUCCUUGAUGGGUCACUGCUUUUCAGCACUCUUUGGUAAUUCUUUUAAAGUUUUAUUCUGAUUUGUUUACCUACUGAAAUACAGUCAUUAACUAUCUAAGUUCUAGGUCCACAUAUUGGCUCCUCAUUGCUUUGGUAAAUCACUGGCAGUUUUCUGUAUACAAAAAUACAAACAAUCCCAUGUAUCUACAUUCAGUACUUGACCUUGUUCUUUCAGGAAUGUUUCCUGAAACCUGCUUGUACGGCAUGUACAGUAUAGCUGCAUAUUGGGGUUCUUCAAAUAUAAAUAACAUAUUUUAUCCAAAACUUAGAUGAGAAGCUUUACAUUUAGAUUCAUCAUGAGUGUAAAGAAUAAUCUCAUGACAUACAAUUUAUAUUGAAUAUAGGCCUGGUUUCUUGAAACUUAAAAACAGGAAAAACAAGUUUUAUACUCCCACAAAUAAUAAAUGUUUAAUGAGAGAAUAUCUUCAGAUUUCAGUGACAUUUAUGAAUGUAGAUACAAUAAUGUGCUUUUAAAAUAGCUGUCUUCUUUCUGAAUCUGUCACAAGUAGAUUUUUAAAAAUUAUUUUGUUCAAAACUCUUUUUUCACCCUGAAGCAUAUAUCUGAUACUCAUAUAUGGUCUGUUACUCUCUGUGUGAAGUAAGUAUCUGGUUGUUAACCUGAGAUUUCAAGGAAGAGGAGAGAACAGUAGAGACUUAGUAUGACUGCUAGCAACAAAAUUCCCAACUAGCUCUGGAAGACAGCCCCAGUUGAGUUCGAAAUCCAGUCACCUUCCUUUUAUGCAUCCACCUUGAACAUUGUUUUUUACUUCAGGAGAAAAUUGUUCACUUGAUUACCACCAAAUCUAGCUGUAUGUCCUUGGGCAAGUUAACCUCUCUGAAAGUUAGUGUUCCUUUCUGUAAAAUAUGAAUGCUAUUUACUGGAUAACACUGUAGUGAUGGUUAAACUAGAUAUUACACAGGGACAAGGGUAAGGAAGAAAGGCAUCUCCCAGGAUAAGCCUCAACUGCUCACUCCGAGAAUUCAGACUGGUAAGUUCUCCUAAACCAGAGGUGCAAAAGAAGGCAUAAGACAUAUAAUGUGGUCCAGAGAAAAGAAGCCAAAGCCUCGAUUGCCAAUAAGGAGGGAUUCCGAGGCUGGGAGUGUGCCAAUCAUUCACUUUUAUGUCACAGUCUGACUUCUUCACCUCCUCUUUAGACUCCACCUUCAUCACAGGAAGGCACUAAGAAGUCACAGGGGAGAAGAAAGAGGUUGCUCUUACCAAAAAAAUCCUUUAAGAUGUUAUUAAGAUCUAAGGCAUUACUGGUUUGUUACUUCCCCAGAGGAUGUAAUACCAAAGCAAAACAAAACAAAACAAAAACACAGAAAUACCCCCCUUUGAAACCACAAAGGUCCCAACACAGCAGACUGGCAGAGGCCUCAGAGGGCAAGAGCAGAACUUAGCAGAGGUGUUCUUGGAGACUCCUCAAUACUGUAAAGGGGACAGUAAAUGAGAUAUGGCUUAUCGCUGUUUUAAGUUUUUCCACUUAAAAAGUGAAGGUCUCAUACAGAAAGUGCCUAGAACAACAUAGAAAAUAUUCUCAGUACAUUUAAAUUUCUCUUCCGUUCUCCCAUUAUCAAAUAUACCCUCCAUGGUUUCUCUGAAACAUUAGACACAUUUAUUUACUCUUGCAAUUCUGUCGACAAAAAGGUACUAUGCUAAGUGUCAUGAAAACACAUUGGUUCUCUGUUAGGUACCAGGGGCAAAUAAACUGAUAAAAUGCAAUCCAUACUCUUAAGCUGCCUACUCAUUCAUAAUAUAAUAGACAUGCAAAAGUAGUUGCAACUCUGGGAGAAGUGCAAUAAUAAAGGUAAAAAUUAGCUCAGCACUGCACAGAGGAGAUUAUGGUUAACUCUGCCUGGGUUGAUAGGGAAGAUUUCAUGAGGGGACCAUUGAGUUGAUUUUUAAAGGAUGAUUUGGAGCCCAUUGGAUAAUCUGUUAGGUUCUAGACAAGCACCUGCAGCUGCUUCAGACACUGGUUUUGGUGUUAUUGGAACACAGGGUGUAUGUAGUAAAUGGCUGGUUGGCCAGAGGGAAGGACAUGGAGAGUCUAGGGUGCCAUAUUCAGGAGUGUGAGUUGAUUCUGUAGGCAAUGAGAGGAUAUUAAAAAGGGAAAUUCACUGUGUCAUGUCAUUUUAGAUCAUUCUGACAGCAGUCUGGAGAGUGGACUGGAGUGGGGCAAAACAUGAGACAGAGAUUAGGAAGCAUGAACAAUGGCCUACACAAAAUAGAUUAGGAUGGGUGUCUGCAGUCAGGGAGUAGCAGUAGAAUGGACAAGAAGGGAUGGAUUUGAGGCCUGUUAUGAACCUAGACUGAACAGAAAAUAGUCGUAUAGAUGCACGUGGAGCAUCCUGGUGGAGUCGAGCCUCCACAGUACACGUGAUGUGCUCUUGUGCACAUCAGAAAGGGUCCCUUUUCUUUAAAACACUUCCUGUUGGGUAAGUGUAAUACACUACUUUUAUUAGAAUGACAGACUUUACUACCACCUGGUAGAAGAUUGCCAUGUAUACAGAUUGUACACUUUGUAAUAGUUUUAAUUUCUGCAUUAACUUCAAAACAAUAAUGAUAUCUACAAUGUUAUUGUAUACCCUUUCAGUGACAUUCUGCAGAACAGCCUGAACAGCCACACACUAUAGUCCUGUGAGGUAUAAUGUAAUUAGCAGCUAAAUAUGUAGUUUGGGGGCAGAAAAUAAUGUAGUCAAAGAUGAGAUCAUACAGAUCACCCUAAAUGCAUACAUUGAAAAUGCAUUGAAGAUAAGACCCUGGGAAUUACCAAAAUUCAAGGAAUAAUUGGAAUAAAGGAGAAACCUUGAAAAUGUCUUCUCUUUUGGCUUCAAACUUAAAUAUGUUGAUGAUCAUACAGCUCCUACUUGUGUACUUUGUACGGAGACCUCCAACUAGCCUUUCAAGAGCCAAGUUCAGAUUUUGUACAUCUGCCCCCAAAUCAUAGUGAUGCUGCCUUCCAGUCAGCAGUUUAGUUGUCUACCACACAACAGUGCUUGUACAUUUAAUACUUGGUCCUUAUUCUAGAAAAAUGAGAGAGGACCCCCCAAAAAUGUUACUAAUGCUAAGAAGCUCAGGUCUUGAAUUAAUAGCACAUAGAGCAGGUUAGAAAUAACUGAUGCUCAGAAGGCUGCAAGUCUUCAGCCUCAAUGCUGCUCAUUGAACUUAGUUUGUGAUGUGAGUUCAACUGAGAAUACCGAGACCACUGAAAAUGUUAGUGUUGAACAUGGAGAUCUAAUUCAUUUUCUCUUUGGGAAUGGAACUCCCUCCUGUUUGCCUUUUGAGAGUUCAGCCUUCUCCCUCUGCCCAGUGUCCAGUUGCUCCUCCUAGGUCAUCAUCCUAAGUUCCUUUUCCUUCUCUGUUGCCUACUUCACAGUUCCCCAGAGUUCUGUCCUUUGACUGCUCACCUGUAUGUACUCACCUUCAUAGAUCUGCAGUCUCAUGAUACCAACUACAAGCUUUGGUAGAUUCCUCUUCUCUGACCUCUCUCUUAAGCUCUCACCUCACCUCUUCAGCUGCCUGCCUUCUUUCUCUCCUUUUAGCAGCAUAUCUAUUUCUGAGCAAAAUUUUUGCCAAAUAGACUCUUCUGCCUCACUUUAUGGUUUUACUAAUGGUGACAUAAUGCUGUUACCAUCGUUGACUCCUGCCUCUAUGUAGAAUCAGUGUAUCACAUUGGAAGGACUAACUCCCCUUUCUGUUUUUACUGCCAUCACCUCCGACUGGGCUUCAUUACCUCUGAUUUAUGCUCUUGUGAGUCUCACCUGUUAUCUCUCCACAUAACAUCUGUGCAAACAAUGGUGACAAAACACUGUCCUAACUUGGAGUUCCAGGCAGUUUGUCAUCCUGCUCAGAAACCUCACCACAGCCUGUCAAGUAAUAGAAACUUCCACACUGGUUAUUCAUUACCACCUCAGUGUAUCUCCUCUUGUUUCUGUCUUGCUCAUGAUCUUUUCAUGUAGCAGACAGUUGUGGCUAUGACUUCUGUCCUCUGUCAGACCUUCUCCCAACCAUCUGAUAAAGACCAGAUUCCUAAGAACCUGCAUGACCCUUUGCCUGCCUCAGCCAAGCCCAGCCAAACUGCCUCAUGUCCUCAAUCACAGUUUAGGGUUGGUAUCACAUGAUCCAAGCUACCCCACAGACUCCUGGAUAAAAGGCACUUCCUCUUUUCUGGGGUAGCUAAUGGUAAGGAUAAAAUAAGCCUUGAGCUGCUCAAAAAUAAAAACAGAGAGGAAAGCAGAGUUAAGAAGCAAAGAGAAAUUGGGACACUGUCCUGAUGGUUGAGUUUGAACUUCUGAAACCAGCCAUGCCCAAAGCCAGCUGUACUCCUAGACCCCAGUUAACAUAGCAUAGUUAACUUUGUUCUGCUGGUUUGGGAUUGGGCUUCUAUUCCCUGCAGUGGAGCAGAUUCUGACUGGUAGAGACUUUGACUUUUCUGCUCCUCAAACCCUACUCUUUUCUUAAGUUCCUUUUGAUCUACUGACUAUGCCAGGAAGUAAUCUGCUUUUAAAGUCUUCAUUUUGUCCGUAAUAUCAAUCUAAUCAUCUAAGUAGUUGAUUCACUAGCUUCCUAGAGUAGUGUUGAUUGUUGAUCACACUGUGGAAGUCUUAACCACCCAUCAAACUACAAAAGUAAACAUAAAAUUAGAAAGCAGAAGUGAAAUAAAAACCCAUUGGGGAUCACAUA